GGGGAAUAUCGGCUAAGGCGGCUGUGGCGGCUUAGGCAGUAGCGACAGGCUGUGGCGGCGGCUCCUGGUGCGACUCGGCGCGCGGCCAGCUCUCGAGUUUGGAACGGAACGCUCGGUGUCACGGUCCCCGCCCGGAAACUUUGCCGCGGAGCCGCGACCUCCUGGCCCGCGCGGCCCGGCAUGAAGCGGCGCUGAGGAGCUGCCGCCGCCGCCGCCUCCGUCGCCGCCGCCGCCACCGGAGGAGCCGCAGCACCCUGGGCCACGCCGAUGACUACUGCAAACUGUGGCGCCCACGACGAGCUCGACUUCAAACUCGUCUUUGGCGAGGACGGGGCGCCGGCGCCGCCGCCCUCGGGCUCGCGGCCUGCAGAUCUUGAGCCAGAUGAUUGUGCAUCCAUUUACAUCUUUAAUGUAGAUCCACCUCCAUCUACUUUAAACUCACCACUUUGCUUACCACAUCAUGGAUUACCGUCUCACUCUUCUGUUUUGUCACCAUCGUUUCAGCUCCAAGGUCACAAAAACUAUGAAGGAACUUGUGAGAUUCCUGAAUCUAAAUACAGCCCAUUAGGUGGUCCCAAAACUUUUGAGUGCCCAAGUAUUCAAAUUACAUCCAUCUCUCCUAACUGUCAUCAAGAAAUAGAUGCUCAUGAAGAUGACCUACACAUAAAUGACCCAGAAAGGGAGUAUUUGGAAAGGCCUUCUAGAGAUCAUCUCUAUCUUCCUCUUGAGCCAUCCUACCGGGAGUCUUCCCUUAGUCCUAGUCCUGCCAGCAGUAUAUCUUCUAGGAGCUGGUUCUCAGAUGCAUCUUCUUGUGAAUCUCUUUCACACAUUUAUGAUGAUGUGGAUUCGGAGUUGAAUGAAGCUGCCGCCCGAUUUACUCUCGGAUCCCCUCUGACUUCUCCUGGUGGCUCGCCAGGAGGCUGCCCUGGGGAAGAGUCCUGGCAUCAACAAUAUGGACUUGGACACUCCUUGUCACCCAGGCAAUCUCCUUGCCACUCUCCUAGAUCUAGUGUCACUGAUGAGAAUUGGCUGAGCCCCAGGCCAGCCUCAGGGCCCUCAUCAAGGCCUACCUCCCCCUGUGGGAAACGCCGGCACUCCAGUGCUGAGGUUUGUUAUGCUGGGUCCCUUUCACCCCAUCACUCACCUGUUCCUUCUCCUGGUCACUCCCCCAGGGGAAGUGUAACAGAAGAUACCUGGCUUAAUGCUUCUGUCCAGGGGGGAUCAGGCCUUGGCCCUGCACUUUUUCCAUUUCAGUACUGUGUAGAGACUGAUAUCCCUCUGAAAACAAGGAAGACUUCUGAAGAUCAAGCUACUGUACUACCAGGAAAAUUAGAGCUCUGUUCAGAUGACCAAGGGAAUUUAUCACCAUCCCGGGAGACUUCGAUAGAUGAUGGCCUUGGAUCUCAGUAUCCUUUAAAGAAAGAUUCAUCUGGUGACCAGUUUCUUUCAGUUCCUUCACCUUUUACCUGGAGCAAACCAAAGCCUGGCCACACCCCAAUAUUUCGCACAUCUUCAUUACCUCCACUAGACUGGCCUUUACCAACUCAUUUUGGACAGUGUGAACUGAAAAUAGAAGUGCAACCUAAAACUCAUCAUCGAGCCCAUUAUGAAACUGAAGGUAGUCGAGGAGCAGUAAAAGCAUCUACUGGGGGACAUCCUGUUGUAAAGCUCCUGGGCUAUAGUGAAAAGCCGAUAAAUCUACAGAUGUUUAUUGGAACGGCAGAUGAUCGAUAUUUACGACCUCAUGCAUUUUACCAGGUGCAUCGAAUCACUGGGAAGACUGUUGCUACUGCAAGUCAAGAGAUAAUAAUUGCCAGCACAAAGGUUCUGGAAAUUCCCCUUCUUCCUGAAAACAAUAUGUCAGCCAGUAUUGACUGUGCAGGUAUUUUGAAACUCCGCAAUUCAGAUAUAGAACUUCGAAAAGGAGAAACUGAUAUUGGCAGAAAGAAUACUAGAGUACGACUUGUGUUCCGUGUGCACAUCCCACAGCCCAAUGGAAAAGUCCUUUCUCUGCAGACAGCUUCCAUACCUGUUGAGUGCUCUCAGCGGUCUGCUCAAGAACUUCCUCAUAUUGAGAAGUACAGUAUCAACAGUUGUUCUGUAAAUGGAGGUCAUGAAAUGGUUGUGACUGGAUCUAAUUUUCUUCCGGAAUCCAAAAUCAUUUUUCUUGAAAAAGGACAAGAUGGACGACCUCAGUGGGAGGUAGAAGGGAAAAUAAUCAGGGAAAAAUGUCAAGGGGCUCACAUUGUCCUUGAAGUUCCUCCAUAUCAUAACCCAGCAGUUACAGCUGCGGUGCAGGUGCACUUUUAUCUUUGCAAUGGCAAGAGGAAAAAAAGCCAGUCUCAACGUUUUACUUACACACCAGUUUUGAUGAAGCAAGAACACAAAGAAGAGGUUGACUUGUCUACAGUUCCAGCAUUGUCUGUGCCUCAUCCUGCCCAGACCCAGAGGCCUUCCUCAGACACAGGACACCCACAUGACAGUGUACUGUCAACACAGAGAAGCUUGGUUUGUCCCAUCCAGCAAACAUAUGCAUCCAUGGUAACUUCAUCUCACCUGCCACAGUUGCAGUGUAGGGAUGAAAGUGCUGGUAAAGAACAGCAUAUGAUAUCUUCUUCAGUCAUGCACCAGCCUUUUCAAGUCACAUCAACACCUCCUGUGGGGUCUUCCUAUCAGCCUAUGCAAACUAAUAUUGUGUACAACGGACCAACUUGUCUUCCAGUUAAUGCUGCCUCCAGUCAAGAUUUUGAUCCGGUUUUGUUUCCACAGGAUGCAGCUCUUCCUAGUUUAAUAAAUCUUGGCUGUCAACCACCGUCAUCCAUACCUUUUCAUUCUUCAAAUUCAAGCCCAACAGGACAUCUCUUAGCCCACACAUCUCAUUCGGUGCAGACCCUGCCUCACCUGCAGUCAAUGGGAUUCCAUUGUGCAAACACAGGACAAAGAUCUCUUUCUUCUCCAGGGGCUGACCAGGUCACAGGCCAGCCUUCCCCUCAGUUACAGCCCAUUACAUAUGGUCCUUCACAUUCAGGGUCUGCUACAACCACUUCCCCAGCAGUCUCUCAUACCCUGGCUAGUUCACCACUUUCUGGGCCACCAUCUCCUCAGCUACAGUCUAUGCCUUACCAAUCUCCUAGCUCAGGAACUGCCUCAUCACUGUCUCUAGCCACCAGAAUGCAUUCUGGACAGCACACAACUCAAGCACAAAAUACAGGCCAGGGAGGUCUUUCUGCACCUUCAUCCUUAAUAUGUCACAAUUUGUGUGAUCCAGCUUCAUUUCCACCGGAUGAGGCAACUGUGAACAUUAAGCCUGAACCUGAAGAGCAGGAACCUAACUUUUCAACAAUUGGUCUGCAGGACAUCACUUUAGAUGAUGUGAACGAGAUAAUUGGGAGAGACAUGUCCCAGAUUUCUGUUUCCCAAGGAACAGGGGCGAGCAGGCAGGCUCCCCUCCCGGGUCCCGAUUCCCUGGAUAUAGGAAGAUCUGAUGGGCUCUGACAGUGCUCACUGCAGCCAUGUGUCCACCACCAUGUACUUCUCAGCAUGUUUCUCUCCUUGGACGUUGGGUUUCCAACUCUGUGGCCUUCAGGACUGGCACCAGGAGUUGGGAUCACUGUAUGUGGGGAAGGCAUUCCUGUACCUCAGGCCUUGGGUAGAUUUUGUAAAAGAACAGGAGCAGCAUAGACUGAGCUUUGGGGAAAUGAGCUUUGCUUUUUAUAUUUAAAUAGGAUACUUUUAUAUGAUGGGUGCUUUGAGUGUGAAUGCAGCAGGCUCUCCAUUUCAGAGGUGCUGCUUUUGCAAGUGACCUGGUUGCUUAGCUAUGAUUGGUGAUUUGUACUCCUUUAUGGUCAUUUGAAGGACUCUUUAGCUUUGAUGAUAUUUUUAAAGUAGGAACUUUUGAUAAAACCUUCCAGAGGCAAACAUGAAAGAAAAAAAAAAUUGUUAAGUCCACACCUAUGCCUCAGAAACUGAGCAUGUCCUAAAGCCUUUCAUAGAUUUAUAGGAAAUAAAGCCAAAUGUAGCUCAUACCUCUUUAUAAAAGUAAACUGUUAAAGUAAGAAGAGACCAUUCCAAUCAUUGACGUGUUGGAAUAUAAAAUGACAUUCCAGAGCGUAGCCUUUUUGUAACUUUCUAGGUAAUCUUCCUGCAGUCUCUCCAUACUGACUCCAUGUUGAAAUUGCUUUUUUCCCUCAGGGCCUUGGAUAAGAUAGCUACAUGUAAGGUGACUUUGAAAGGUGGGUUUUUUAGCUUGGUAGCUUUAAUAUCCUGCCAUCCUGCAAACAAGUCAGCUGUGGAGUGCUUUUCCCUUUUGUGUCCUCUGGUCCCAGGCCUUUUCUAACUGGGAGUAUCUGCAUUUGGCUGCUCUGUAACCUUUGAAGUCACAGCCUCAUGAUGGUUUAGGCAAAUCUGCUGGUUCUAACUCAUCUCUAGAGGCCAGGCUGUGUCAGAAGCUAAGCACAAAUGAGCUAUAUGCUUCAGAAGAGCAGAGAAAAUACAGGACUCCAGAAGGGAAGCUUUUAAGAUUCACAAUGGCAUGGAAGGUUUAUCCAUCAUUCUGUUUACAGCCUAAAAUGAUUCUGGCCUACCCUCGUACCAUCUGCAUGGCCUAAAAACCAUCCUUUUCCCCAAAAGGCUUUGAGGCAAACCCAAACAAGAGGUAGCAUCAUAGACCUGACCCUCCACACCAAAGAUGCCCCGGUGCUGCUGCUGGUGAGGCUGGUGCCCAGGGCAGGGGCCAGCAAGAAACUCCAGCCUGCUGUCUACCAAAGGAGGUGCCCCAGUUGGGUGCUUUUUCCAAACCCUGCCCUUCCCCCUCCCUUUAAUGGGAUUAGUACCUAUUCCAAGGCUGGGCCCAUUUCAAAGCACCUGAAGUUUGCAGUAUGUUUCCAAUUGAAAUCAUGUAAUUUCAUUUAUUCAGGAAGGAAGUUUUUUGAGUGCCUAUAUGCGCGACAAUGUGCUGAGCUGGUCAAGGGCUGGAUGAUGUUACUCCAGGGGAUUAUGAGUCCUAGAUGCCAGGACUCUCUAUUGAGGCCAGGUAAGGCCCGGGCAGGGGGAGCUGGCUCAUUGCCUACCACCUCUAGUCAGCCAGGUAGGAGCUGUUGACCUCCUACAGCAUAAAGAAGUAUGGUCUUUUUUCCCCCCUUCAAACCAUGAUUUAUAUUUUUCCCCUAAACCUAGUUAGAGCAAGAUGUCUAUCCUUCAGCAAAUCACUCUGGUCCCUCCUGGAGCUGGGUGUUUUCCUGUUUUCUUUAAAAGUAAGUGUGGAACCCCACACUCUGGGGUCCAAAGCUAAGGGCACUUUGGCUUUUAAAAAGUCCACUUGGUUAGGAACCUUUGUUUAUUUUACGGAGGAGUGAGUAGAGUUCCAAAUUCCUUCCGAAACUUCAGUUCUGUACCCUCUAAUGGGUGCAAAGGACAUUCCACGAUGUCUGCUGAGUUCAGGACAACUGGCCUGCCCAAGGUGUGCAUGAAAAGUAGGCAGAAAGUCUUUAAAAUUCAAGCCUGAGUUUUUCUGUGAGGGCCUCCUGCCCCCUAGUGUCCUCUGGGGAUAUUGCAGUACAGUCCAUCAAAAUAGCCUGUGAUUUUGCCACCUGAUAGUCCUUGUGCCAAGCUGGAGGAGAGCUAUUACCCUUAGACCCAAGGCACAAUGUGGCCACUAAGGGUCGAGUAUCCUGGGGGCUGGGGCCAGCAUUCUCUGCUUCCCUGCCCCCUGCAGAAGGGAAAGGGGAGGGUAGAACACUGGGAUCUUUACACAGAAGCUCCCAGGAGUCAUACGUUGAAGGCACCAGGGCUUACAUUUUUAAAAAGCCAGCCAGCCUGCUGUGGACAUCAGCCCCACAGAAUCUGUGGGUAUGGGCCACAGCCAGAACUGACCAAAGGCUCUCUUGGUGCUGCUAUUCAGAGAGGCCCGGAUCAGGCCAUCGGGAGGAGGGUAACACCAUUCCACCCCCAGCCCUGCAUGCAGGGUCCAGCCAGCAGCUUUGGGGUGGACAGGCAGAGCAACAAGCGGGAGAUGGAGCUGGGGCUUGAGCUCCUCUAGGUGCUUUCUGAGAGCUCUGACAAGCCCAGAAAGCAGCCACCUGGUUGAGGGUAGUGGUUCUCUGGAUGCCGAGACAGACAUGAUAAGACAACAGCCAGCUCUUACCUCCUGGCUCCCUCACCUACAAACACACCCACUCUUUGGGGGCCUGUAGCACAGUGCGAGGCGGGUCACCAACAGGCAUCAAACUGGUGUAGUCAUCAGGGGCUAAC